rnacentral:lncRNA from 1 species
ACACCCGCAGUCCCCUAUAGCUCCUUCUCUCCCCCCUCCCAUUCUUUAUCAUCUCAAGAGUGCGUACACACUCAAAAGGAGAGCAUUUUUCAAGGAUGAUGGCUUUAUGUUUUCUUUCCUUUGGGUUCUUGAUCACUAACUAACAAAUCCCCCCACACCAUGAAAAGAAAAUAUGGAAUAAUAAAACUACAACAGUAUCAUCUCACCUUUUGAAUAGAGUCUAGUUCACCCAACCAGACAUUUAGAAGUCGACCCGGAUCAUCAUCAUCAGGUGUACUACUAUUAUUUGAAGUCAUAUUCACAUGUUCGUUGUUACCUUCCUCUCCGGUCCUAGUUGAUUUUGACACUGUCUCUGCUCUGUUAUUUUUGGGCGCCCAUUCUCUAAGUGCAGGCUUUUGGGCGAACGUUCUUCGACGAUUCAACUCAUCGGCCCUGAAUAGAAUGCGGAAAUAAUAAUUCUCAUCAUCAGUUUAAUUUUAUUUAAAAAUAUGUACAACAUUUUUAUUUUGUGUGUGUGUCUGUGUAAAAGGCACUCAUAGUACAACCAUGUUGGUGAUGGUUGUACUAUGAGUGCCUUUUACACAUACACUCUUUAUUUAAAAAAAAAAAGGUUUAUUUUUAAUUUAAUAAUAAACAUAUUGAAAAAACCAA